rfam:Triticum aestivum genome assembly, contig: Triticum_aestivum_CS42_TGACv1_scaffold_081444_1DS
AUACUACUCCCUCCGUCCGAAAAUACUUGUCAUCAAAAUGGAUUAAAAGGGAUGUAUCUAGAUGUAUUUUAGUUCUAAAUACAUCUUUUUUUAUCCAUUUUGAUGACAAGUAUUUUCGGACGGAGGGUGUACAAA